CUAUCCGGCGUAUACUGGAAUGGUUAAAAUGAUGGCUACGGUUAAUGUGACACUUUGGAUGUCCUGAUGUUCCUCAUGUUUACUUGAGGAGAAAUUUGGCGUCCGCGUGGUGUCAUUAAAGCAUUAACCAGACCUUUAGAACCCUAAUUGACUCAUCCUGGCCAUUAGAAAGUAGUGAGAUAACUGACUUCGGUUCCGACUGGGGUUGGUUGAGACUCGAUACUACACUCUGUGAGAUUGGACUUUAGGGAAGCUUUGG
rnacentral:lncRNA from 1 species